rnacentral:misc_RNA from 1 species
AUGAAUUACUUGGUCAAGCUGUUGCUGGUCCUUUGGGAUAUGUGCACGCUUGCCAAUAACUUCAACCACCUGUGCACCUUUGUAGACUGAAAAACUUUUGUCGAGGCAACUCGGAUUGAGGACUGCUGCGCGCAAGCCGGCUGUCCUUGUGUUUCUCAGUCUAUGUUUUCAUAUACUCCAAUGUAUGUAAUAGAGUGUUUUAUUAGGCCUAUGUGCCUUUAAAUGAAAUA